UCGAGAAUUUUUCUCAAUGGGCGAAAGCUUGAAGGAGCGACGCCGCGUGGGGGAUGAAGGGCUUCGGCUCGUAAACCCCUGUCAUUUGCGAACAAACCUUCUCACCUAAUACGUGGGGAGCUGAUAGUAGCGAAAGAGGAAGGGACGGCUAACUCUGUGCCAGCAGCCGCGGUAAUACAGAGGUCCCAAGCGUUGUUCGGAUUCACUGGGCGUAAAGGGUGCGUAGGUGGCGAGGUAAGUUUGAUGUGAAAUCUCUGGGCUUAACCCAGAAACUGCAUUGAAUACUAUCUUGCUAGAGGGUCGGAGGGGAGACUGGAAUUCUCGGUGUAGCGGUGAAAUGCGUAGAUAUCGAGAGGAACACCAGUGGCGAAAGCGAGUCUCUGGACGACUCCUGACACUGAGGCACGAAAGCUAGGGGAUCAAACA
rnacentral:rRNA from 1 species